GGGGAAUAUUGCACAAUGGGCGAAAGCCUGAUGCAGCGACGCCGCGUGAGGGAUGAAGGCCUUCGGGUUGUAAACCUCUUUCAGUAGGGAAGAAGCGCAAGUGACGGUACCUACAGAAGAAGCACCGGCUAACUACGUGCCAGCAGCCGCGGUAAUACGUAGGGUGCGAGCGUUGUCCGGAAUUAUUGGGCGUAAAGAGCUUGUAGGCGGUUUGUCGCGUCUGCCGUGAAAAUCCGGGGCUCAACUCCGGACUUGCGGUGGGUACGGGCAGACUAGAGUGUGGUAGGGGAGACUGGAAUUCCUGGUGUAGCGGUGAAAUGCGCAGAUAUCAGGAGGAACACCGAUGGCGAAGGCAGGUCUCUGGGCCACUACUGACGCUGAGAAGCGAAAGCGUGGGGAGCGAAC
rnacentral:rRNA from 1 species